rnacentral:pre_miRNA from 1 species
GGGGGGAGGUCGGAUCCUGGGCUGUGUCCUGGGGCCCAGUGCUCCCGGGCCUGCGCUGUUGGAUUUGCUCUCCCGGCCGCAGCCCCCC